rnacentral:rRNA from 1 species
AUGUGUAAGGCGAAGAAGGAAGGAGGGAUGGGUUUCAGAGAUCCAAAGGCUUUUAACCAAGCGUUGUUGGCUAAACAAGUUUGGCGUAUUUUACUGUACCCAUCCUCGUUAGGUGCUAGGGUCCUCAAAGCCCGGUAUUUUCCGGAGGGGUCCAUCAUGAACACCACAUGCCCGAGCAGGGGAUCCUUAACUUUUCGAAGCAUCAUUCACGGAAGAGAGCUGCUACGGGAAGGUGUGGUUUGGAGAAUAGGAGAUGGCACUACUGUUAAUGUACAUCAUGAUAGCUGGAUUCCUAGACAGGGGAGUCUCAAGACGCUUGCGCAAUAG